AAGAGGAUGUGCCACUCUCAGUAAUGCAGAUCUCUGGGGCCAGUGUACUUUACAAGGAGGAGUGGAUCAUGUCACGUUCAGGGACACAUGGGUAAUUUCCCAAUUUUGUUGUCACAGAAAAAGAAGAAGGACCUCAACUGAAGACCUCAUCCAAAGCCCAGUAGGUGAAAGAAGCAAGAAAAGCCCAAUAAAAAGAAAGGGAAUGUUGGGGACCAGCAGAGAUCCAGUGCUCCCAGGAAGAAGACCUGGAAGAGAACCAUCUAAAGACAUGCUCAGAAGACAGAGGUGAAGUAAAUGACCAUAAGGGAAAGAAUCUGGAAUAGUCAGG
rnacentral:lncRNA from 1 species